UGGGGAUUCGGCUAGUGGUAGGCCGCCUGACUCUGGAUCAGGUAACGAUGGUUCGAAUCCAUCAUCCCCAGCCA
rnacentral:tRNA from 2 species